rnacentral:rRNA from 1 species
UGGGGAAUUUUGGACAAUGGGCGAAAGCCUGAUCCAGCAAUGCCGCGUGUGUGAAGAAGGCCUUCGGGUUGUAAAGCACUUUUGUCCGGAAAGAAAUCCUUGGCUCUAAUACAGUCGGGGGAUGACGGUACCGGAAGAAUAAGCACCGGCUAACUACGUGCCAGCAGCCGCGGUAAUACGUAGGGUGCAAGCGUUAAUCGGAAUUACUGGGCGUAAAGCGUGCGCAGGCGGUUUGCUAAGACCGAUGUGAAAUCCCCGGGCUCAACCUGGGAACUGCAUUGGCGACUGGCAGGCUAGAGUAUGGCAGAGGGGGGUAGAAUUCCACGUGUAGCAGUGAAAUGCGUAGAGAUGUGGAGGAAUACCGAUGGCGAAGGCAGCCCCCUGGGCCAAUACUGACGCUCAUGCACGAAAGCGUGGGGAGCAAACAGGAUUAGAUACCCUGGUAGUCCACGCCCUAAACGAUGUCAACUAGUUGUUGGGGAUUCAUUUCCUUAGUAACGUAGCUAACGCGUGAAGUUGACCGCCUGGGGAGUACGGUCGCAAGAUUAAAACUCAAAGGAAUUGACGGGGUCAUA